rnacentral:rRNA from 1 species
UCUACGGUGUGCAGCAGUGGGGAAUAUUGGGCAAUGGGCGCAAGCCUGACCCAGCAACGCCGCGUGAAGGAAGAAGGCUUUCGGGUUGUAAACUUCUUUUCUGAGGGACGAAGAAAGUGACGGUACCUCAGGAAUAAGCCACGGCUAACUACGUGCCAGCAGCCGCGGUAAUACGUAUGGAGCAAGCGUUAUCCGGAUUUACUGGGCGUAAAGGGAGCGUAGGCGGCCUGCCAAGUCUGAUGUGAAAUACCGGGGCUCAACCCCGGGGCUGCAUUGGAAACUGGCAGGCUGGAGUGCCGGAGAGGCAGGCGGAAUUCCUAGUGUAGCGGUGAAAUGCGUAGAUAUUAGGAGGAACACCAGUGGCGAAGGCGGCCUGCUGGACGGUGACUGACGCUGAGGCUCGAAAGCGUGGGGAGCAAACAGGAUUAGAUACCCUGGUAGUC